rnacentral:rRNA from 1 species
CGUUAAUCGGAAUCACUGGGCUUAAAGCGUGCGUAGGCGGAGGCGUAAGUGUCUUGUGAAAUCCCACAGCUCAACUGUGGAACUGCGGGGCAUACUGCGUCUCUUGAGGUCGAUAGAGGUCGCCGGAACUGUAGGUGUAGCGGUGAAAUGCGUAGAUAUCUACAGGAACGCCAAUGGUGAAGACAGGCGACUGGGCCGAUUCUGACGCUCAGGCACGAAAGCGUGGGGAGCAAACAGGAUUAGAUACCCUGGUAGUCCACGCCGUAAACGAUGCAUACUAGAUUCGGGAGGUUCUGAUACCAUCCGAAUCGUAGCAAAAGUGCUAAGUAUGCCGCCUGGGGAGUACGGUCGCAAGGCUAAAACUCAAAGGAAUUGACGGGGGCUCACACAAGCGGUGGAGCAUGUGGCUUAAUUCGAAGCAACGCGAAGAACCUUAUCCUGGGCUUGACAUGCAUGGAUUAACUCCCUGAAAGGGGAGCCACGCUCGCAAGAGUGGAACAUGCACAGGUGCUGCAUGGCUGUCGUCAGCUCGUGCUGUGAAGUGUCGGGUUAAGUCCCUUAACGAGCGAAACCCCUGUCGUUAGUUGCCAGCGCGCCUUCGGGUGGCGGGAACUCUAACGAGACUGCCGGUGUCAAACCGGAGGAAGGUGGGGAUGACGUCAAAGUCCUCAUGGCCUUUAUGCCCAGGGCUGCACACGUGCUACAAUGGCAUAUACAAAGCGAAGCAAUGCCGCAAGGUGGAGCAAAUCGCAUAAAGUAUGCCCCAGUUCA